GGCUGUUGUUUUACAGUAAAACCAUAUUGCGGUAUAUCAUAAUACAAUAAUUUUGAGCGGGAAUUUUCAUAUUUCUCAUCUUUCAGUUAUUCGGAACACAGAAAUCAUAUUUCUAGGAUAUAUUUCAUGAAGCCAGAGGACGACCCAGCGUUUUUAAUUUUACAUCCUCAAUAUUAAGAAAUGAAGUACUGAUGGCCAGCUUCGCAUUAUUUUCAUGAAAGAAGAUUCAACGCUUUCCUCGUCUUGACUUCAGAAAGCGACCGUUGGUAUUGUCAACGGUAACCGACCUAGGCGACACAGGACACUGCAACAGGUAAGACGCCGCAUAUCUUCUGAGCUCCAAAAUAAUUAUACAUUAUUAUGUGCUAUCUGGUCUCGUAAGUCUGGUUCAGGGGAAGCAUCACAUGAUAGAUGUUUAUUUGCAAUUGUGUGCACUUAUGCCUGUAGUGUUGCUUCUUGGUCUGUUAGCUAGCUACAGCUAAUUAGCUUGACAAUUGUUUUCUUCUUCGCUAGCAACCGUUGGUAUUGUCAACGGAAACCGACCUAGGCGACACAGGACACUGCAACAGAUUUAUUGUCAGGAUAAAUCCUGAGCAAAGCAAGUGUUCUUCCAAGGUCCAGCUGAGCAGAAGGACUGGCAGGAUGGUGCAACGAAAAAAUGAAUCCCUCAAUCCACACGUGGCAUCGUUUAUCAGAGGCUUUAUCGAGUAUGACUGGCAGAACAACUGAUAUCAGGGAAGAAGAUUCCAGCCCUAGAAGACAUAUUCAGUAUAGGAAGAAACGGCGCAGGAAUCAUAUAUGUCAUUGGGACCAGUAAAGUCAGUCUUGAACAGUUUAUUGGUUGAAUAUUGAAAUGUUUUCGUACAAAUGCAUUUUUCUACAAUUCUUCUUUUAACUGAACAUUUUACUUACUUGGAAUUUUUGUAUUUGUAAAAAAACAAACAAACAAAAAACAAAACCUGAAAUAUGUGAUAGUUGUCUAUAUGGUGAUGCUUUUGUGUGUUUUAUUGUUAAUUUUAUUAUAUUAUCAAUUAACUUUACAGGAUACAGUGACUGCACAUACAAACCAAUGUCUGAAAAG
rnacentral:lncRNA from 1 species